rnacentral:rRNA from 1 species
UCUAACAUGUGCGCGAGUCAUUGGGAUCUGUAAAGCCUAAAGGCGUAAUGAAAGUGAAGAUCGACCCUAGCGUCGUUCGAGGGAGGAUGGUUCGCGUUUCGAUGCGAGUCCGCACUCCCGGGGCGUCUCGUGCUCAUUGCGAGCUGAGGCGCACCCAGAGCGUACAUGUUGGGACCCGAAAGAUGGUGAACUAUGCCUGGUCAGGACGAAGUCAGGGGAAACCCUGAUGGAGGUCCGUAGCGAUUCUGACGUGCAAAUCGAUCGUCGGAACUGGGUAUAGGGGCGAAAGACUAAUCGAACCAUCUAGUAGCUGGUUCCUUCCGA